rnacentral:rRNA from 1 species
AUUGAACGCUGGCGGCAUGCCUUACACAUGCAAGUCGAACGGUAACAGGGUGCUUGCACCGCUGACGAGUGGCGAACGGGUGAGUAAUACAUCGGAAUGUACCCAGUAAUGGGGGAUAACGCUUCGAAAGGAGUGCUAAUACCGCAUACGCCCUGCGGGGGAAAGCGGGGGACCGCAAGGCAUCACGUUAUUGGAGCAGCCGAUGGCUGAUUAGCUAGUUGGUGGGGUAAAGGCUCACUAAGGCGACGAUCAGUAGCUGGUCUUAGAGGACGAUCCGCCAGACUGGAACGGGGACCGGGUCCAGACUCCUACGGAGGGCAGCAGUGGGGAAGAUUGGACAAUGGGCGAAAGCCUGAUCCAGCAAUGCCGCGUGCGUGAAGAAGGCCUUCGGGUUGUAAAGCGCUUUUGUCUGGGAGCAAAUCCUGGCCUCUAAUACAGGUCGGGGAUGAGAGUACCAGAAGAAUAAGGACCGGCUAACUACGUGCCAGCCGCCGCCGUAAAAC